rnacentral:misc_RNA from 1 species
GUGAAUCAUCGAAUCUUUGAACGCACAUUGCACUCUCUGGUAUUCCGGAGAGUAUGCCUGUUUGAGGGUCAGUUAAAUCCUAAUCGGUGUUGUUGUUGCUUUUCGUGGUGACGCGUCGGGAUUUAGUUCUCUUACCUUCGGUUAUGUGUGUUACUAUUUUGCUUGAUUGUCGUACGUAUUUAAGUUUAUUACGUUUGUUUGAGAUAUCGAAUACUUUAUUAGGUUCGGUCAUCCUCAUGAUU